AGAGUUUGAUCAUGGCUCAGAUUGAACGCUGGCGGCAUGCCUUACACAUGCAAGUCGAACGGCAGCACGGGGGCAACCCUGGUGGCGAGUGGCGAACGGGUGAGUAAUACAUCGGAACGUGUCCUGUAGUGGGGGAUAGCCCGGCGAAAGCCGGAUUAAUACCGCAUACGAUCUACGGAUGAAAGCGGGGGAUCUUCGGACCUCGCGCUGGAGGGGCGGCCGAUGGCAGAUUAGCUAGUUGGUGGGGUAAAGGCCUACCAAGGCGACGAUCUGUAGCUGGUCUGAGAGGACGACCAGCCACACUGGGACUGAGACACGGCCCAGACUCCUACGGGAGGCAGCAGUGGGGAAUUUUGGACAAUGGGGGCAACCCUGAUCCAGCAAUGCCGCGUGUGUGAAGAAGGCCUUCGGGUUGUAAAGCACUUUUGUCCGGAAAGAAAACCUCUGGGUUAAUACCCCGGGGGGAUGACGGUACCGGAAGAAUAAGCACCGGCUAACUACGUGCCAGCAGCCGCGGUAAUACGUAGGGUGCGAGCGUUAAUCGGAAUUACUGGGCGUAAAGCGUGCGCAGGCGGUUCGUUAAGACAGAUGUGAAAUCCCCGGGCUUAACCUGGGAACUGCAUUUGUGACUGGCGGGCUAGAGUAUGGCAGAGGGGGGUAGAAUUCCACGUAGCAGUGAAAUGCGUAGAGAUGUGGAGGAAUACCGAUGGCGAAGGCAGCCCCCUGGGCCAAUACUGACGCUCAUGCACGAAAGCGUGGGGAGCAAACAGGAUUAGAUACCCUAGUAGUCC
rnacentral:rRNA from 1 species